rnacentral:sRNA from 1 species
AGGGUAAACAGCUGUGUGAAGAGUGAUGAGCAUGUCCUGGAGGAGCUGGAAACAGAAGGGGAGAGGCAGCUGAAAAGCCUCCUUCAGCAUCAACUUGAUACUUCUGUCUCCAUUGAGGAUUUAUUAUUCCCGGAUGAGGGCACUAUUGAUGGAGUUCAUUUUGUUGCAGUGGUGCUUCAGCUUAGAAAUAAGAUGUAAGAGAAAAUUUGCUAAUGUAUGUCUAAGAAAGAGAGCUUUGCUCCUGGUACUAUGUACAAGCCCUUUGGGAAGGAAGCAGCUGGGACUAUGACUUUGUCCCAAUUCCAGACACUGCAUGAGAAGGACCAGGAAACUGCUUCUCUCAGGGAAUUAGGGCUUAAUGAAACAGAAAUCUUGAUCUGGAAGAGCCAUGUGUCUGGUGAAAAGAAGACAAAACUGAGGGCAACUCCUGAAGCAAUACAGAACCGUCUUCAAGAUAUUGAAGAAAGGAUCUCGGAGCGUCAGCGCAUUCUUUGCCUGCCACAGAGAUUUGCAAAGAGCAAACAGCUGACCCGGCGAGAAAUGGAAAUAGAAAAGUCUUUAUUUCAGGGAGCUGAUCGUCACUCCUUCCUUAAGGCUCUUUAUUACCAAGAUGAACCCCAAAAGAAGAACAAAGGUGAUCCCAUGAACAACCUGGAAAGUUUUUACCAAGAGAUGAUAAUGAAAAAACGUCUUGAAGAGUUCCAACUUAUGAGAGGUGAACCCUUUGCUUCCCACUCACUGGCCUCAGCUACAUCAGUGGGUGAUAGUGGCACAGCUGAGAGCCCAUCAUUACUCCAGGACAAGGGAAAACAGGCAGCACAGGGUAAAGGCCCCAGUCUCCAUGUGGCAAAUGUUAUUGAUUUUUCACCUGAGCAGUGUUGGACUGGGCCUAAGAAGCUGACGCAGCCAAUAGAAUUUGUCCCA